ACCACAUCAAAAGAACAAAGGAGACUGUAAUUAACAAAGAAGCAAAAGAUUUAUGCAGUUUGUUGUCUCAACAUCUCCAACCAGUGUUAAUAAAUCUGAUUCAAUUUGUUUCUAAUAAAAUUACAAAUGAUUUAUUGACUCUCUGCACUAAGGACUUCACAUAUAUUUUCAGAUGAUUGUAUGCAGCAAACACAAUAACCAUGACCGACAACAAAACCACAUUUUAAAAUUAUGAUUGAAAAACUCAUGAUAGUUGGUGCAGAAAUAAAAAGACAUGGUUUUGGUUCAUAAUUACUCCAACCAUUGUGGCUCUUUCACAACAUCUCCUAGAUACUCAGCUGCAACAACCUCAUACUUGAUACUUGAAUCCACACGCAAAAUACUAUGACUAUAAAUGUAAGUUAAUUUUAUCUUUAACAGUUAUUGCCUCACUUAUCUCACUUGCUGGAGAAACAUUAUUACAAGAGAGCACAUAGAACACAUAACACAUCAUAAGCUAACUAUAUCAACUAUGAAGAUUUAAGAUGAAUGCAAAAUUGGAUUUCCAUUUACCUUACAUGCGUA
rnacentral:lncRNA from 1 species